GGGUUGUGAGGUUAAGCGACUAAGCGUACACGGUGGAUGCCCUGGCAGUCAGAGGCGAUGAAGGACGUGCUAAUCUGCGAAAAGCGUCGGUAAGGUGAUAUGAACCGUUAUAACCGGCGAUGUCCGAAUGGGGAAACCCAGUGCAAUUCGUUGCACUAUCGUUAACUGAAUACAUAGGUUAACGAGGCGAACCGGGGGAACUGAAACAUCUAAGUACCCCGAGGAAAAGAAAUCAACCGAGAUUCCCCCAGUAGCGGCGAGCGAACGGGGAGCAGCCCAGAGUCUGAAUCAGCUUGUGUGUUAGUGGAACGGUCUGGAAAGUCCGACGGUACAGGGUGAUAGUCCCGUACACCAAAAUGCACAGGCUGUGAACUCGAAGAGUAGGGCGGGACACGUGGUAUCCUGUCUGAAUAUGGGGGGACCAUCCUCCAAGGCUAAAUACUCCUGACUGACCGAUAGUGAACCAGUACCGUGAGGGAAAGGCGAAAAGAACCCCGGCGAGGGGAGUGAAAAAGAACCUGAAACCGUGUACGUACAAGCAGUGGGAGCACCUUCGGGUGUGACUGCGUACCUUUUGUAUAAUGGGUCAGCGACUUAUAUUCUGUAGCAAGGUUAACCGUAUAGGGGAGCCGCAGGGAAACCGAGUCUUAACUGGGCGUUAAGUUGCAGGGUAUAGACCCGAAACCCGGUGAUCUAGCCAUGGGCAGGUUGAAGGUUGGGUAACACUAACUGGAGGACCGAACCGACUAAUGUUGAAAAAUUAGCGGAUGACUUGUGGCUGGGGGUGAAAGGCCAAUCAAACCGGGAGAUAGCUGGUUCUCCCCGAAAGCUAUUUAGGUAGCGCCUCGUGAACUCAUCUUCGGGGGUAGAGCACUGUUUCGGCUAGGGGGUCAUCCCGACUUACCAACCCGAUGCAAACUACGAAUACCGAAGAAUGUUAUCACGGGAGACACACGGCGGGUGCUAACGUCCGUCGUGAAGAGGGAAACAACCCAGACCGCCAGCUAAGGUCCCAAAGUCAUGGUUAAGUGGGAAACGAUGUGGGAAGGCACAGACAGCCAGGAUGUUGGCUUAGAAGCAGCCAUCAUUUAAAGAAAGCGUAAUAGCUCACUGGUCGAGUCGGCCUGCGCGGAAGAUGUAACGGGGCUAAACCAUGCACCGAAGCUGCGGCAGCGACACUAUGUGUUGUUGGGUAGGGGAGCGUUCUGUAAGCCUGCGAAGGUGACCUGUGAGGGUUGCUGGAGGUAUCAGAAGUGCGAAUGCUGACAUAAGUAACGAUAAAGCGGGUGAAAAGCCCGCUCGCCGGAAGACCAAGGGUUCCUGUCCAACGUUAAUCGGGGCAGGGUGAGUCGACCCCUAAGGCGAGGCCGAAAGGCGUAGUCGAUGGGAAACAGGUUAAUAUUCCUGUACUUGGUGUUACUGCGAAGGGGGGACGGAGAAGGCUAUGUUAGCCGGGCGACGGUUGUCCCGGUUUAAGCAUGUAGGCUGGUUAUCCAGGCAAAUCCGGAUAAUCAAGGCUGAGGUGUGAUGACGAGGCACUACGGUGCUGAAGUAACAAAUGCCCUGCUUCCAGGAAAAGCCUCUAAGCAUCAGGUAACAUCAAAUCGUACCCCAAACCGACACAGGUGGUCAGGUAGAGAAUACCAAGGCGCUUGAGAGAACUCGGGUGAAGGAACUAGGCAAAAUGGUGCCGUAACUUCGGGAGAAGGCACGCUGGUGUGUAGGUGAAGUCCCUGCGGAUGGAGCUGAGACCAGUCGAAGAUACCAGCUGGCUGCAACUGUUUAUUAAAAACACAGCACUGUGCAAACACGAAAGUGGACGUAUACGGUGUGACGCCUGCCCGGUGCCGGAAGGUUAAUUGAUGGGGUUAUCCGUAAGGAGAAGCUCUUGAUCGAAGCCCCGGUAAACGGCGGCCGUAACUAUAACGGUCCUAAGGUAGCGAAAUUCCUUGUCGGGUAAGUUCCGACCUGCACGAAUGGCGUAAUGAUGGCCAGGCUGUCUCCACCCGAGACUCAGUGAAAUUGAACUCGCUGUGAAGAUGCAGUGUACCCGCGGCAAGACGGAAAGACCCCGUGAACCUUUACUAUAGCUUGACACUGAACAUUGAGCCUUGAUGUGUAGGAUAGGUGGGAGGCUUUGAAGCGUGGACGCCAGUCUGCGUGGAGCCAACCUUGAAAUACCACCCUUUAAUGUUUGAUGUUCUAACGUUGGCCCCUUACCGGGGUUGCGGACAGUGUCUGGUGGGUAGUUUGACUGGGGCGGUCUCCUCCCAAAGCGUAACGGAGGAGCACGAAGGUUAGCUAAUCCUGGUCGGACAUCAGGAGGUUAGUGCAAUGGCAUAAGCUAGCUUGACUGCGAGCGUGACGGCGCGAGCAGGUGCGAAAGCAGGUCAUAGUGAUCCGGUGGUUCUGAAUGGAAGGGCCAUCGCUCAACGGAUAAAAGGUACUCCGGGGAUAACAGGCUGAUACCGCCCAAGAGUUCAUAUCGACGGCGGUGUUUGGCACCUCGAUGUCGGCUCAUCACAUCCUGGGGCUGAAGUAGGUCCCAAGGGUAUGGCUGUUCGCCAUUUAAAGUGGUACGCGAGCUGGGUUUAGAACGUCGUGAGACAGUUCGGUCCCUAUCUGCCGUGGGCGCUGGAGAAUUGAGGGGGGCUGCUCCUAGUACGAGAGGACCGGAGUGGACGCAUCACUGGUGUUCGGGUUGUCAUGCCAAUGGCACUGCCCGGUAGCUAAAUGCGGAAGAGAUAAGUGCUGAAAGCAUCUAAGCACGAAACUUGCCCCGAGAUGAGUUCUCCCUGAGACUUUAAGUCUCCUGAAGGAACGUUGAAGACGACGACGUUGAUAGGCCGGGUGUGUAAGCGCAGCGAUGCGUUGAGCUAACCGGUACUAAUGAACCGUGAGGCUUAACCUUACAACGCCGAAG
rnacentral:rRNA from 1 species